AAAUAUACUUCCCCAGUGCCUAUAAAAUUAGAGUCUGAGUUGUUACAGAGAUAAUGAGUCAAAUAUCUGGUGCAUGGAGCUGUAACAGUGUGGAGGAGCAUAGGAUGAAACUUUGCCACAGGUGGGAAAUACUAACAUGCAGAAAAGGAGUCCUAAAAAUGACUCAAUAUGUGCUAAGUAAAUGACUUUUAAAUGUAGUAAGUGACAAUUCUGUACACAAUUAUUGGUAAAGAAUAAUUUUGGAGUCCAUUUUUAGAUACCUUGUCAGCUUUCAAAAAUAUCACCAUUUGAACACAGCAAGUGGUUUCUGAUUUUUAUUUCUUUAAUUUGCCAGAUUGUUUGUAUUCUUGUAAUUAUAACUAGCCUAAAUGGAUAGCUAUUGAGAGUGUAGUGUCUGUGCUGAAGAUGUUAAUGCAUUUAUGUUUUCUUUAUUGCUCUGGGAAAUAGUGGUAUUUCAUGUUAACAUUGUGAGUUCCUCUGUACCUCUUUAGCACACUAUUUAUUCCAUAAAUAACAGGACAAUAAAAAUAAAGUCGAGUGACCACCCGCUUUAAAUCUACAUUCAAAUCAAAUUUCAUCACUAAAUUAUUGACAUAAAUAAAUACACAUAAUUGGUUUUCAAAAUGUGGCUACCUCCCCAUUAUUCAGGACUUGAUUAUACAGGUCAUAAGUUACUGAUAUGGUUUGACUCUAUGUCCCCACCCAAAUCUCAUCUUGUAGUUCCCAUAAUUCCCACAUGUUGUUGGAGGAACCCGGUGGAAGGUGACUGAAUUAUGGGGGUGGGUCUUUCCUGCACUGUUCUCGUGAUAGUGAAUGGGUCUCACGAGAUUUGGUGGUGUUAAAAACGGGAGUUUCUCUGCACAAGCUCUCUCUUUGCCUGCCACCAACCACAUAAGAUAUCACUUGCCUCCCCAGCCACGUGGAACUGUGAGUACAAUUAAACCUCUUUCUUUUGUAAGUUGCCCAAUCUCGGUUAUGUCUUUGUCAGCAGUGUGAAAACAGACUAACACAGUUACUUAAGCUUGUUUCCUGCUUGUCAGCAUCACCACUAGAGUCAGGAUUCAGGAAGACGGAAGAGGAAAAAAGCAUGACAACCAUGUUUGCAUCCAAUAAUCAGUUAUUCUACUGAUGUUAUGGGGAGGAAAUUGUAGUAUCUUGCUAAGAUAAAGAUUGUGGGUUAUUAGUAGAUUUAAUUAGUCCAUACUAAAGACUGUUAUAAUUAGAACUGAGAACACAAAGUUGAAAUCAUGUACAUUUAUAAACAUGUAUUAUAUCUGUAUAUUAGUCUAUGCUAUAUAUAAAUACGAAGAAAUAACUCUUCACAAUGGCUAUAAUAAAAAGUGUAGUUACUUCCUCUUCGUGAUUUUUCUUUUUACACUUAAGUUACAAGGUCCUUUUAUUAAAAAUCCAAAUGUGAAACUCCUGUCCAUCUAUGGGUAAUGAAAAUAAAAGUUUCAUGAAAUAAUAUUUACCCUUAAUAUAUGUGAUAUACUUUUAUAUUGCUAUCCUAGUCUAUGCAUAUUUGAUGUUUUUUAAUAGUGGUCGAGCCCUACUAAAUUGAUAAAAUGACUUGUUCAUAGAUUUUUAAAUCACAAGUUGAAAGAAACUGUUUAGUUAACUUGACAAGCUAUCUUGAUGUUGUGUAUCACUAGGUAACUGUAAACAGUGUAGAUUGUAUUUACUGCCCCUGGAAAAAAAUGCCUGGAUUUUAUCAUUACUUCCUAAAACCAGAUUAACUAAUUUUUAUUUUAAUCGUAUGUUAUUAUUUAAUAAUUAAAUACAUUAGGUAUCACAUUAUGUUAUUACCCAAGCCACCAAUUUGUAGAAAGGAAUAUUAAAUUUGUUUUUUAAAUUCAAAAUCUCUUUUGUUAAUUUUUUGCCAUUUAAAUCUUUCUAUGAAGCUGAACUCUGGUGAUAUAAUUUAAAUUAAAGAUAAUAUUAAGGCCUUUCUCAGGUUUUAUAGAGCAGUUGAAGUUAGUUUCCAGGUAUUUAUGGAAAAUGCUACUAAUGAGGGAAUUAAAAAACAUCAAGGGUGGAGGGAGGGGCAGAAAGCAAUCUAAUCAAACUAUUUUUAUUCAAAUUUUUUGCCUUAUUCAUUUUAUUUAUUUAGUUUUAAUAGAUGCUAUAUUGACUAGUUGGAGAGCGAAAAAAGGAGUAGAGUUUGAAUGGAAUUACAGUACACACAAACACAAGAGACUGAAAAGAGCCUUAUUCAUUUAUCAUUAAAAUGGCUUUGACUUUAAGGUAAAUCAUGACUGUAAAGCUCAUAAGUUCAGAGAUUGUGCCUGUUUAAUUAACUUUGAUAAUUCUAAUAUAGCCUGGUACCAUAGAAGUCCUCUAUAAAUGUGCAUUGCAUGGAUACCUGAAUUGAUGUAUAAUUUUUGUACUUUUGUGAGUAUUGAAUAUUUUGAAGUGCUGUUUUCUGCACAUACCAUGCACCUAAUAAAUAUUUUUGAAUGAUGAACUUUUGCCUGCUUUGCUAAACUUUCACAGUUUGAUAAAUUUCACUAGACCAAAAAUACAUUAGAAAACAUAGAAAUUCAUUUCUGUGAUGACAGUGCAUACAAGAAAUUCCAGGUUAGUCUGAUUUAAUGUAUUUUUUCUCAGUUGUCAAAUGUGGUGCAUGAAAUUUUAUUUCUGUACACAUAUAAUAAAUUGUGGUUGAGAUUUUGGUCUCUCUCACAUUUGUUUAAAUAGAAAAAGAAAAUAUGCUCCUAAUACAGUCAUCAUAUGAAUCCUAGGAUGAAUCCCCAUUUUUUGGAGGCUUUUAAAGCUCUAAAUCUACUUCUAAAAAUUAUGCUGUUAUCCUCUAUAAAAGAGACUAUUGAGAAAAUUAUUCAAAAGCUGUUCUUAAAAUUUAACAUAUUUCACCCUCACAUCAUAUUUUAUAGUUUUAUUUUGUACCUCAGGCCCAGAUUGUUGAAAACUGA
rnacentral:lncRNA from 10 species